UGAAUGUCAUAUGUUUUGUGCUGAUGGA
rnacentral:piRNA from 1 species